UCUUGGUUUUUCUUGUCCUCAGGGUGCCUCUCUUCCUAAGGUGCCAUAUAAUUUGCUUAUUUAUCAUGUUCAUCAUUUGUUGUCUGUCUCCCCCUGAGAACAGGGGUCCACAGGGCAUCACUGCAUCACCAGUCCCUAGAACUGGGUCUGGCAUAUGUAGUAGGUGCUCAACAAAUGGUCAUUGAAUGACCGAAUGAGGCACAGGUAAAGGCAGGGACCACCUUUUGUGUUAAGGACUCUGCUGACGAGUGCGGUGGGCGCCAGUGAGGUUUGGCAGGGCAGGGGCGGCUCAUGGAUGGCCAGGCUGCAUGGGGAGGCACAGCGGGGUCCUUCCAGCUUCCCUUCCUGCAGGACUGAGGGGAAGAGGCAGCUGGAGCAGGCCCCAGGCACGGCCUGACUGACGCAGAGAUGGAUGGGGUGGGCCGGGACCCAGGAGGAAGUGGGCCCGCAGUCCAGCCUUUUAACGCGGCUGAGAUUUAUGGAGCCAUCGAAAGUGCUCACCGGGGCUGUCACUCUGCUAAUGUGAUUGGAACAAGAGAACUAGGAGGAUUCCCAGAAGAGGGGGCAUUUGACUUGGACCCUGAAGGCUGAGUAGGAGUUUGGCAGGAACAGUGGGAUGGAGAGGCCCACCAGAUGGAGGACCCAGUGUCUGAGGACUGAAAUGUUUACUCGGCGAUAAGGAGCCGGCUUUCUCGUGGAGAUUUGUGCGCUCUUUUUCAAUUACCCCUCGUCUUUCUCUGCCACUUUUGCACUAAAGGGAUAAUAAAUGUAUCGGAGCAUUUCAAUUAUUCAUCUAAAUCAUGACUUCGCCUGCCACGGCCAGCUUUAGUGACAGAUUAAUUCAGGGCCGCCUUCCUCUGCUUCGUGGCCGCCAUCUCUGCCCCUGCCUGGCCAGCUUCCCAAAGGGCUGGCCUGAGGGGUGGCCACGCUGGGGUCAGGCAGGGCCCUGGCAGGCACAGGCAGGCAGGGCAGCAUGGAGCCUGUCCCCACACACGCACUCACUGAUGGGGCACUCCUGCCCAUCCAGAGGCCAGCAGCCCCACCCAAACCUACCAGUGGGGGUGCCACUCCUUGCCCUCCUGCUUUGUUGGCUCUGCACAGCCCCUGCUUCCUGCCCACGUGGCUGGUAUGUCUCGUACACCUGGUGUCCCAGGUUGCUCACUCCUGAGAGAAGCCAGGGUGGCUCAGGUUCUGCCACAGCCCUCUUCUGGCACAGGGCCUUUGCACAUGCUUCUCCUGUGCCCAAGGGCUCCUCUGCCCUCCCACCACAACCUUCCCUCCUACCUGUCUCGA